AAGUAAAAGUCGUAACAAGGUUUCCGUAGGUGAACCUGCGGAAGGAUCAUUACAGAGAGGGGCCUUGAGUCCCAGGGGGCUGCGUCCCCCGCCUCUCCACCCGUGAACAUCUACUUUACCGUUGCUUUGGCGGGACUUUGGGGUAGCACCCAUGGCCGGCUCGCCGGAGAGCGCCCGUCAAUCGCCCCCUAAAACUCGAUUUCCUGCGACGUCCGAGCGAUAACUGAAUCAAAAUAAAACUUUCAACAACGGAUCUCUUGGUUCCGGCAUCGAUGAAGAACGCAGCGAAAUGCGAUAAAUAAUGUGAAUUGCAGAAUUCAGUGAAUCAUCGAAUCUUUGAACGCACAUUGCGCCCCUCGGCACCCCGGGGGGCAUGCCUGUUCGAGCGUCAUUGCACCCCUCAAGCGUAGCUUGGUCUUGGGUUUUCGUCCCCUGGGCGGACCUCAAAAGUAGUAACGGUCCGGAGUGGUUUCCAAGCGAAGUAACUGUAUUAUCCGCUUUGGAAUCUCGCCGGGUCCAGUUUGGAACACACCAACCAUUCAAUGAUUGACCUCGGAUCAGGUAGGGAUACCCGCUGAACUUAAGCAUAUCAAUAAGC
rnacentral:rRNA from 1 species